GGUUCCGUUCUGUUCCGCCUUGGCGCCCUUGGCCGCGGGGGCAAUGUUUUUGUUUUCGUUCUACGUUCAGGUGUUGGGUGGCGACGUUUUAACCGUCGAUAACCAGCUGAAGCAGCUCAAGUUCUCGAGUGGAACGAGGUUGACCGUGCGCAGUGGCAGCCGUUGACAACAAAAACAAUGUAUGCACUAAGUUUCGCCGGAUAAGUGCCGGCGUCGAUCGCGAACCGCCAGAGCCGCCAAAUACCUCUCGUACAUCUCCAAGAACACCAAGAACAGGAGGUAUUCGUAAAGGUCUGAACCACGCGAGGAUCGUCUCGAAGCAUGGUAGCCUCAACAGACGCUUGCCGCCACACGCGAGGAGAAAGCAGGAGGCCCGAAGUUUGAAUGUGAAGAGGAGGUGCGAAGAGCUGGCCCUCACUUUUUCAAGGCAGCCGCAGAACACUACGAGCCCCGAAUCACUGCCGCGGCUGACUCACGCGGAUGCUGUGCUGCACCCUGCACUGCACAUGGUUCGAAGCACACUUCAGGGGACCAGUGCAUGCCCCUGAUGCAUCGUCGCGGUAUGUUUUGUACUGCUUUUCCUAGCGGUGCACUGAGCAGUCCAAUCUUGAAGGGAGCACGCGAGUGCGUAGCCAGUGCUCCAUGCAGCGAGGACCGCAAGCACCCGCGGAAGCUUGGAGCACACGCAGUGACGCCAGCAGCCGUGCAUGCUGGCAUCGUCUGCUACUGUACCGUCCUUUCGUUCGGUGCGCAGAAAAAAAAAGGAGUGACCGCUCUGUUAAAAGUCUGAUGGUGAAGGCAUCCUUUACAGAAGCACUGUAUGGCUCUCUGCACGCUAGAAUGGGGGCUGUCGUUGAUGCUCGCAGAGGCGUCGCCCACAACUAAGCAGACGACCAAAGUCCUGAGCAGGUCCCGGGGAUCAUGGCAUCGAUGAGCUCGCUUUCGCCUUGUCCAAGGUAGCAGCGGAACACUACGGGCAGGCCCGGAGUCACCGCACCGGCUGGCUCACGGGCGUCGUCCUGUACUCUGCACGGCACUGCGUGUGGCUUAAUCGGCCAAGCAGAGGGUCACUGCAUGACCUUUAUGAGGCGUCGCUAGCCAUUGUUUCAAAUCGUCCUGAUUCAUGGGCCAAGCCUUUCAAGACUGCACUCUUAGGCCCAGUCCUUUUUGGUGGAUCGGAUCUUGCCAUCUUCCCCUCUCGUGGCUUCCUGUUGUACUUAAAUAAAUUGUCAUAUUUUUUUCUUAUGGUGGUGCAUACGUUUUGCCACACUUCACAAAAACAGUGUGGUGAAUCCAUGCCGCAGAUUACUGUGAAACGUGCAGGAAGGGUAAACUCCGAAAAGGUUUAUGGAAAGAAGAUAGACAUCCCCCAUUAAUUUUUUCUGGACACUCUAAGCGUGCUAUCUACGCAGUAUUUCUGCC